rnacentral:rRNA from 1 species
UACGUAGGGACCAAGCGUUGUUCGGAUUUACUGGGCGUAAAGGGCGCGUAGGCGGCGCGGUAAGUCACUUGUGAAAUCUCUGAGCUUAACUCAGAACGGCCAAGUGAUACUGCAGUGCUAGAGUGUGGAAGGGGCAAUCGGAAUUCUUGGUGUAGCGGUGAAAUGCGUAGAUAUCAAGAGGAACACCGGAGGCGAAGGCGGCUCACUGGGCCGGAUCCGACGCUGAGGCGCGAAAGCGUGGGAGCAAACAGG